AUGGAUUUCCUAUUAUGCGUCUGCCUCCUCCAACUGAUGUUCUUGAGCUGUUCUCCGGUGGCGGCGCAGCAGCCGACGCCGCCGGCGGCGAGGGCCCUGGACGCAAAAUUGCAGGAGUACGCGUACCGGGCCCUCCUCCGUCCGCGCACCGGCAUUGUCUACAAUGCCACCGUCCCCGGCCUCGCCGGCGUCUCGGCGUCCGCGCUCCGCCUGCGCAGCGGCAGCCUCCGGAGGAAAGGUUUGUCUCAGUACUUCCAAUUCGGCCUGCCCACCGGCGUCAUCGCGCAGCCGCGCGUGGAGAGGAUAGUGCUCGUGUACCACAACCUGCGCAAUUGGUCACAGCACUACUACCCGCCUCCGCCCGGGUACACCUACCUCUCGCCGGUGCUUGGGCUUCUGGCCUAUGAUGCUGCCAACCUUUCGGCAGUGGGGUUGCCGGAGCUGAACAUUGUCGCGUCAGGAAGCCCGAUUCUUGUACAUUUCAGCAAUGUCAGGGCGGCGCCGGCAGGCGGCCCGGCACCACGGUGUGUGUGGUUUGACUUGGACGGUGUGCCGCAGUUCCGGGACCAAGAGGCAAGCAACGUGUGUGCUACGUAUCGCCAAGGGCACUUCUCGGUAGUGGUGAACUCCAGUGAGGUUGCUCCUGCUCCAUUGCCACCAGGCGCAAUUGCCCCGCCGAUACCGGCUGCCGGAGGUCCUACCAAGGGGAGCUCGCAAGCUUGGAAGGUUGCCGUUGGCGUGGUUGGGGGCGCCAUAGCAUUGGGGCUGUUAUCUUCAGUUCUUCUGUGUCUGGUGAGGCAUAAAAGGGCCAAGAAGUUGGAGGUGAUGGAACGGAAUUCAGAGGUUGGGGAGACACUGCGCAUGGCGCAGGUUGGGCGGGCGCAAGCACCUGUAGCGUUGUGGACACGAACAAAGCCGGUGAUUGAGAGCGAGUAUGCUGCAUAG
rnacentral:rRNA from 1 species